rnacentral:rRNA from 1 species
UACGUAGGGGGCGAGCGUUGUCCGGAUUUAUUGGGCGUAAAGAGCUCGUAGGCGGCUUGGCAAGUCGGGUGUGAAACCUCCAGCUCAACCUGGAGACGCCACUCGAUACUGCCAUGGCUAGAGUCCGGUAGGGGACCACGGAAUUCCUGGUGUAGCGGUGAAAUGCGCAGAUAUCAGGAGGAACACCGGUGGUGUAGACGGCUCUCGUGACCGUAACUGACGCUGAGACACGAAAGCGUGGGUAGCAAACAGG